CCGGGGACGAGGAGCUGGCAUCAGGCACACCAGAUGGCCCAAGACGCCUUGCUCAGCCACACCCCCAAGGAAUUCAGCAGUAAUAAACAUUAAGCCAUAAGUGAAAACUUGACUUAGUUAGGGUUAAGAGGGCCGGUAAAAUUCGUGCCAGCCACCGCGGUUAUACGAAAGACCCUAGUUUAUAGGCACGGCGUAAAGGGUGGUUAUGGGACAGACAAAAUAAAGCUAAAGACCCCCAGAGCCGUCAUACGCCCACGGGGGCGCGAAACCCAAAUACGAAAGUAGCUUUACCAAACAUGCCCGACCCCACGAAAGCUGAGAAACAAACUGGGAUUAGAUACCCCACUAUGCCCAGCCUUAAACCUAGAUGAAAACUUACAAAACCAUCCGCCCGGGGACUACAAGCACAGCUUAAAACCCAAAGGACUUGGCGGUGCCUCAGACCCACCUAGAGGAGCCUGUUCUAGAACCGAUAACCCCCGUUAAACCUCACCACCUCUUGUUUUCCCCGCCUAUAUACCGCCGUCGUCAGCUUACCCUGUGAAGGUCCAACAGUAAGCAAAAUGGGCCCAACCCAAAACGUCAGGUCGAGGUGUAGCGCACGAGGUGGGAAGAAAUGGGCUACAUUUUCUACCACAGAACACCACGGAUAGCUCCCUGAAACAUGACGCCUGAAGGAGGAUUUAGUAGUAAAAAGCAAAUAGAGUGUCCUUUUGAAUUAGGCUCUGAGGCGCGCACACACCGCCCGUCACUCUCCCCAUAUAAAACAAC
rnacentral:rRNA from 1 species